UACGUAGGGAGCGAGCGUUGUCCGGAUUCAUUGGGCGUAAAGGGCGCGUAGGCGGUUACGCAAGUCGGAUGUGAAAACUCCAGGCUCAACCUGGAGACGCCACCCCGAUACUGCGUUGACUUGAGUUCGGUAGGGGAUCACGGAAUCUCUGGUGUAGCGGUGAAAUGCGCAGAUAUCAGAGGGAACACCGGUGGCGAAGGCGGUGAUCUGGGCCGACACUGACGCUGAUGCGCGAAAGCGUGGGGAGCAAACAGGAUUAGAU
rnacentral:rRNA from 1 species